GUCUGAUGUUGGCCUUGUGGAUACAACUCACGUUGCCUCUAGGUCUCCCAGGGCCAGCAGUGUCAAUAACCAGAGUGUUUUGUGCUUUAACCUUCUUGAUUCAGUGGUGUAGGUGCAGCCAAUGAGUCUGUAGCUACAUGGCAGGCUACGCUUAACCUUGGUGGCUACACCUGAUGAUCGUCUAUACUGUAAAUCUCAGCUCAGCCCUGGCAAACCUCCACUAGCCUUCCAACUCUGCCCUUCCUUGGAAAAUAACCAGGUCUUUGUAGGAAACAGUGUUUUCAGUUCUGAAAGCGGCAGAAAUCUUGAUUUUCCUCAAUGCAACGAGCUCAGCGGUCUCCGACAGCCAGUGAUGAAUUCUAGGCUCAAACAGCGGCUGUCUUUCCAAAGGA